GACGAACCGUGCGAACGUUGUUCGGAAUCACUGGGCUUAAAGGGCGCGAAGGCGGGCUGACAAGUCUGGGGUGAAAUGCCGCGGCUCAACCGUGGAACUGCCUUAGAUACUGUCGGCCUCGAGGAAGGUAGGGGCAUGCGGAACUGUAGGUGGAGCGGUGAAAUGCGUUGAUAUCUACAGGAACUCCGGUGGCGAAAGCGGCGUGCUGGACCUUUUCUGACGCUGAGGCGCGAAAGCUAGGGGAGCAAACGGG
rnacentral:rRNA from 1 species